rnacentral:rRNA from 1 species
AGGACGAACGCUGGCGGCGUGCUUAACACAUGCAAGUCGAGCGGAAAGGCCCUUCGGGGUACUCGAGCGGCGAACGGGUGAGUAACACGUGAGUAACCUGCCCUUGGCUUUGGGAUAACCCUCGGAAACGGGGGCUAAUACCGAAUAUUCACUGCUUGUGGCAUCACAGGUUGUGGAAAGUUUUUCGGCCAGGGAUGGGCUCGCGGCCUAUCAGCUUGUUGGUGGGGUAAUGGCCUACCAAGGCGACGACGGGUAGCCGGCCUGAGAGGGCGACCGGCCACACUGGGACUGAGACACGGCCCAGACUCCUACGGGAGGCAGCAGUGGGGAAUAUUGCACAAUGGGCGGAAGCCUGAUGCAGCGACGCCGCGUGAGGGAUGACGGCCUUCGGGUUGUAAACCUCUUUCAGCAGGGACGAAGCGCAAGUGACGGUACCUGCAGAAGAAGCGCCGGCCAACUACGUGCCAGCAGCCGC